rnacentral:rRNA from 1 species
GAUGAACGCUGGCGGCGUGCCUAAUACAUGCAAGUCGAGCGAACGGACGAGAAGCUUGCUUUUCUGAUGUUAGCGGCGGACGGGUGAGUAACACGUGGAUAACCUACCUAUAAGACUGGGAUAACUUCGGGAAACCGGAGCUAAUACCGGAUAAUAUUUUGAACCGCAUGGUUCAAAAGUGAAAGACGGUCUUGCUGUCACUUAUAGAUGGAUCCGCGCUGCAUUAGCUAGUUGGUAAGGUAACGGCUUACCAAGGCAACGAUGCAUAGCCGACCUGAGAGGGUGAACGGCCACCCUGGAACUGAGACACGGUCCAGACUCCUACGGGAGGCCGCAGUAGGGAAUCUUCCGCAAUGGGCGAAAGCCUGACGGUGCAACGCCGGUUGAUUGAUGAAGGUCUUAGGAUCGUAAAACUCUGUUAUUAGGGGAGAACAUAUGUGUAAGUAACUGUGCACAUCUUGACGGUACCUAAUCAGAAAGCCACGGCUAACUACGUG